AUUGAACGCUGGCGGCAGGCCUAACACAUGCAAGUCGAGCGAGCGGCGGACGGGUGAGUAAUGUAUGGGGACUGCCCGAUAGAGGGGGAUAACUACUGGAAACGGUGGCUAAUACCGCAUACUGCCGGACUACUCCUAUGGGAUUAGCUAGUAGGUAAGGUAAUGGCUUACCUAGGCUACGAUCCCUAGCUGGACUGAGAGGAUGAUCAGCCACACUGGAACUGAGACACGGCCCAGACUCCUACGGAGGCAGCAGUAGGGAAUAUUGCACAAUGGGCGCAAGCCUGAUGCAGCCAUGCCGCGUGUAUGAAGAAGGCCCUAGGGUUGUAAAGUUCUUUCAGUCGGGAGGCGUUACCGACAGAAAAAGCACCGGCUAACUCCGUGCCAGCAGCCGCGGUAAUUC
rnacentral:rRNA from 1 species